AUCAUCAACUAUCUCAGAAAUAUUUUAGACGCAUUAAAUAUUCAUAUCAUUCUUCACGAACCACUCGCAGCGUACAUCAGCUACAAAAUGCUUAGGGAAUAUUACAAAAUUUUAAUUAUACUACAGCUCAUUAUAAUAGUUUCGGAAAGUCGGAAAGUUAAGAUAGAAACAUCUCAUCCUCCAAGGGAUUACAGACCUUCGAAAUGGCUGUCCAACAGCGCUAUGGAUAUGUGGUUCGGAAAUAAAUCAAUCGUUGAAAUUAUUGGUAGAGAAUUUGCUGACGUCGUCAAUCGAUUUGCCAGCAGGCGAGCCCGAGAUGUUCUCAUACAAAAAUACUCAAAUCAAGAAUCGACUAUAAAUAAUUAUUCAGCAUCGAACGGAACUUCGCACUACGUAUAAAUAUUAAUACAUAUCUUGGGAAUUUUAAUAGAAUCUGCAAAUAUUUUUUGUGUUUCAAUUUACAGGUUAAAUUCGCUUUGCUGGUGAGAAUUUGAGUUCGAAAGAUUGUCUAUCGUUUAAGUAGAGCCGAUCCAACCAUGAUUAGCAUAAUGUCGUAACAAAACUUUUUUUUAAAAUAAAAAGGCCAAUGGCAUUUAAUUAAAUUACCACAGAACUAUUAUUCUCGUAGGUGCACGUAAUAAAUAUAUAACGUGGCAUAUAUACGAACGUUCUUCAACCCAAAUUCAUACCAUAUCAUAAGAUAAAAUAAUCGAACACCGUGGUAAAUAAAAAGGUUAUAAUUUUUU